AUUGUUUCUUCUUUUUAGAUUAGCUGUCCCAAGUUUUGGAAUGCAGCAUGGGGUAAUGAUGAUGGGGCAUGAUGAAGUCACACAUUUCGUGGAAUUUUAUUUAGACGCAAUGUCAAGCGUCAUGAUGCAUGCUAAGUAGGUGGAUCUUUGAAAUUGAAUAGAAGAUUAAUCCCUCCACACCAAAACAGAGUUAAAUAUAAAGUGGUGGAUUGCAAGUUCUUGACCGCAUAAUGUAUAUAAAUUCUUCAUCAGCAUAAGAUUAUAAAUCGAUUUAGCGAUGCCGCAGAACAAUUUGUAUUGUGUCUAGGAUGGCUGAUAUUGAAAAUCGGUGCACGUUUUGGUGUAGCCGCCAUAUGAAGGACCCACCGAUAUUCGUUAUUUUGAUAAUCCUAGUUACAUUUACCCACGAAAUUGUUUCAUCUUUGGCAUUUAAGACUCACAAUGCAUAACAAUCUAUGUAGUAUACAAUUGCCUAUAUAGAUUCCCGUUUUGGUGUGGCCCCCAUAUAACGGCUUCGCCCACUUUAUGGUUUUCUCAAAAGUUUAAGUUCAUUAUCCAAAAGUCCUACUUGCAUUUGCAAUUUAAAGUGUAACACUUUCAAUCAAGAUAAUUAUACCCUACAACACUAGGUUGGGGGUAUUAUAAGUUUGAUUGGGCCAGAACUUAUGUAACACCUCGAAAUAUUGAUUUCCCAUAUUGGAAAGUAUAUAUGGAGGAAUAAAAGCCUGCCCACAACAAGGAAUGGGGCUUCCAUAAUGCACGUGUCAAUACUGUGGCCUGGUCACCUAAUUCCCAAUUGGUGGCCAGUGGUUCUUUGGAUACCACCAUUAUUAUCGGGUCGGUUACCAAUCUCGCCAACCACACCACCAUCAAAAAUGCUCAUCCACAAUCUCAGAUUACACGUUUUAUAAGGCUGGUCAAUAACACUGUGAUCUCCACUGGUCAAGAUUGUAAUACCAAAGUUUGGCAUGUUGAGACAAUCUAAAACCAGCAACCAAAUCCACUAUUACCACCUAUGUCAUUUAAAAAUAAAACAACGAC